AGUGAACGCUGGCGGUAGGCCUAACACAUGCAAGUCGAACGGCAGCACAGUAAGAGCUUGCUCUUACGGGUGGCGAGUGGCGGACGGGUGAGGAAUACAUCGGAAUCUACUUUUUCGUGGGGGAUAACGUAGGGAAACUUACGCUAAUACCGCAUACGACCUACGGGUGAAAGCAGGGGAUCUUCGGACCUUGCGCGAUUGAAUGAGCCGAUGUCGGAUUAGCUAGUUGGCGGGGUAAAGGCCCACCAAGGCGACGACCCGUAGCUGGUCUGAGAGGAUGAUCGGCCACACUGGAACUGAGACACGGUCCAGACUCCUACGGGAGGCAGCAGUGGGGAAUAUUGGACAAUGGGCGCAAGCCUGAUCCAGCCAUACCGCGUGGGUGAAGAAGGCCUUCGGGUUGUAAAGCCCUUUUGUUGGGAAAGAAAAGCAGCAGGUUAAUACCCCGCUGUCCUGACGGUACCCAAAGAAUAAGCACCGGCUAACUUCGUG
rnacentral:rRNA from 1 species